ACCUGUCGGUCUUCGCACAGCGCAGCCAAUUGGUGACCUCCACAUCCUCAUACGUCAUCACUCCCCGCCCGCGGAGCUCCUAGGCCACCCCGUCGAGCGCCGGGUCGCAGUCGUCCUUGGAGUUGCCUGAUCGGAAGAGCUAAAGGGCACGGCAUUAAUGUCGGGGCGGGUGGCUCCCUCGUCCAUCAGGAACGAAGCCAAGGUCCCGGGGCCCGUCUUCUUUCCUUUGGAACGGUUUCUGGGUCCCGAAGCAUCUCCCUCUAGGAGGCCCUGAGCUGGCAGCCCUGGCGGUGGCUGCUGGGGCCUACUAAGCGGCGGUCGCAUGCAGCUCCUAUGAGGCCCCUGUCGCCGGUCGGCGAUGUCCGGCUGGAGCUGUCGCCGCCGCCGCUGCCGCUGCCGGCCGUGAGCGGGUCUCCGGUCGGGUCGUCCGGGCGUCUCAUGGCCGCUAGCAGCUCCCUGGUGCCCGACCGGCUGCGCCUGCCGCUCUGCUUCCUCGGCGUCUUUGUCUGCUAUUUCUACUAUGGGAUCCUGCAGGAAAAGAUAACAAGAGGAAAGUAUGGGGAGGGAGCCAAGCAGGAGACGUUCACUUUUGCCUUAACUUUGGUCUUCAUUCAAUGUGUGAUCAAUGCUGUGUUUGCCAAGAUCUUGAUCCAGUUUUUUGACACCGCCAGGGUGGACCGUACUCGGAGCUGGCUUUAUGCCGCCUGUUCUGUCUCUUAUCUGGGUGCCAUGGUCUCCAGCAACUCGGCACUACAGUUUGUCAACUAUCCGACUCAGGUCCUUGGUAAAUCCUGCAAGCCAAUCCCAGUCAUGCUCCUUGGAGUUACCCUCUUGAAGAAGAAGUACCCAAUGGCCAAGUACCUGUGUGUGUUGCUCAUUGUGGCUGGAGUGGCCCUUUUCAUGUACAAACCCAAGAAAGUAGUUGGGAUGGAAGAACACACAGUUGGCUACGGAGAGCUGCUUCUGUUACUGUCUCUGACGCUGGAUGGACUGACGGGCGUUUCCCAGGACCACAUGCGGGCUCAUUACCAAACAGGCUCCAACCACAUGAUGUUGAAUAUCAACCUUUGGUCGACGUUGCUGCUGGGAGCUGGAAUCCUGCUCACUGGGGAGCUCUGGGAGUCCUUGAGCUUUGCCGAAAGGCACCCUGCCAUCAUCUAUAACAUCCUUCUCUUUGGCCUGACCAGUGCCCUGGGGCAGAGCUUUAUCUUCAUGACAGUUGUGUAUUUUGGCCCCCUGACCUGCUCCAUCAUCACCACAACUCGAAAGUUCUUCACCAUUUUGGCCUCUGUGAUCCUCUUCGCCAACCCUAUCAGCCCCCUGCAGUGGGUGGGCACCGUACUUGUGUUCUUGGGUAAGUUCCCUGCAGAGCACGCGUCUCUGGGCACGGGGGCACGGGGAGCAAGUUCUUCACCAUUUUGGCCUCUGUGAUCCUCUUCGCCAACCCUAUCAGCCCCCUGCAGUGGGUGGGCACCGUACUUGUGUUCUUGGGUCUUGGUCUCGAUGCCAAGUUUGGGAAAGGAGCCAAGAAGACGUCCCACUAGGAAGAGAGAGACUACCUCCACUUCGAGAAUAUUUAAGUUAUUAUCUCACAUACGGACAUCUCUUGGUCAAAUGGACACAGUAGGGACAGAAGACUGGGUUCCAGUCUGUUCUUGGUUUUUGUGGGGUUUUUUGUUUUGUUUUGUUUUUUAAGAAAAGGAAGCAAAAUCACAUAUUCUAAAAAAAAGCCCUUGGAUUUUACCAAGACAGAGUUGGCAGUUUCUGUUCUGGAUGACCUGGAGCACAGUUAACGCACAGAGAGAAGGGAGAGGAAGCGGCAAAGCGUCACGCUCUUUGCUCAAGCUCCCUGUCUGGCGUAGGCAACCCGGCUGGGCGGCUCAUUCCCCCAAGAGCCCCAGCACUGUAGGGAGGAACUUGAUUGGAUUUGCAGUCGGGCUCUGGGCCUCUGUUCCCACAGGUGAGGGUCUGAAUCUGCCAGGACAGGUGGCUGGCUGUUCGAGCCAGAGAAUGUCAAUGUCACGUUAUCUUUCAAACUCUGGUGGGCAAAUAUUUCCUUAAAAACUCCAGAUCUAGUCUUUCCUCAGGAAACCUCCCUUGAGGUUGGGGGGGAGAUGAGCCUAGAGCCUCAGAGUCUGCUGUGUUUUCACAUUUCCCCACGGCCUCCUCUUCAGCCAGAGCUCAAGCAAGCCCAGAGUGGAGACCCAGUGUGUAUAUCACGAACAGCUUGGGAAGGUCGAUUCCCUCCCUCCGUCUCCGAGUCUGUUCUCGGUCCACCUGGUCCCCUCCUGGGAAGGCUGGAUUAAUCCUAUCCCCCUGUUCCCUUCGGCUGCUAAAGCAUUGCAGUCCUCUGCCAUCGUGGCCGUGCCAGGGUGUCCCCAUGCCAACUUCUGCCUGUUGAAAGGGAUGCUGGCGGAAGGCAUGGUGGCUGGGUGCUGGCACAGAGCCUCUGUCAAGUUUCCUGGGUGGCAGUGGGGGGAGGAGGCGGAGCAUGGAGCAGAGCCACCUGCCCACGGCCGCCUUCAGAGCUGGAAAUCGCAAUCCUCCACGGACCGAACUUUACACAUGAAAGUGCAUUUCCACCAGCUGCAACUUUCACUCCAUCUGUUCAGCAGCCCCAGCCCCUUGGCUCUCCAGCUGGGAGCCCAACCUCCUUCCUGAGCCGCUGCCUCGCCACCCCUCCCCAGCCUUUCAAGCCUGCCUCGCUCGCGCUCUCGUCGCUCUCUAGGGGCCCCGGUGCCGCUGCAGCUCUGCCCUCAAAGGCCCCCUCUCAUUUUGAGCUCCUCCUUGAGAGAAGAGGUUUUGCGUACAGCUGGCUGAACUUCCUUCCUUCUUCACCCCUUUCUCCUCUGUUUUUUUUCAUCCCAAAGUUCGCAUCAAUUAGCCCCUUCCCUUCUGGAUUGAUAGUUCUCCCAAACUGUCUUCUGUGGAUUGGAUAGGUGGUUAGAGCGUGUGACCAGUGCCCACAGGCCCGUUCUCCUGACCCUCGGACCAGUGCCCUCUACCUCCAGCCCCUGCCCUUCCCAACGAGCUGUCUCACAGAUGCCUAAUGGCGGGCACCAAGAGCAAGACGGAAUCUUCAACAGCCCGGCGUGGCUCCCGCCUGCCACUAGAGCGAGUAUGUCUACCUACGGGUGCCAAGAACCCGCUGCCGGUGUAUCUGUUCAGCCCCCCGUCUGCCCGUCUAACCCAUCACCUCUGUGUGCCACGGGCCGUGAACUUGCUGGGAGUUCAAAGCCGAGUAGGACCAGUGGUACUUACCCUCUGGGGGGGUUCACAGUCUAAUAGACAGGUAAACACAUCAUUUCGUCUUAGACGCACAGAGCUAACAAGUGAGUGUCUGGGCAAGGCGAGGCUUGAGCUGGAGCGUGUGGGAAGAUGAAAGGUGGAGGAAGUGGAGCCAGCCAGUGGGAAACGGGGCUUUCAACUGCCCAGCCUCCCCCCCAUGCUCCUGCCUUUAGUCAGGCCAGGUGGGAGCAGUGGCUCUGCCCCGAGGCUGUCGUUCAGCUCCAGGGGGGACAGGUGAAGACCUGGCGUGAGCUGCUGCUGCGCCCGGUGGCACGCUCACGUACAGGAUCGCGGGAACCGAGUGUGCCAAGUUUGACCGAAGUCAGCAGCGCUCUGUCAGGGCAUAAGGGCUGAUAAAUGUGAAAUACCAGGCAAGUUCCAACAGAUGCGGUGUUGAUCGCGAACCCUGGGCGGCCUGAUGCCUCAGGUUUCUCAAGAUCAAAGGACUUUUCAUCUGUGUUAAUUCUCAGCUAUGUGUAGAAGGGAGGGAGCCAGCACACAAGUUUCCCCAAACACUAUGUUUUAGUUGGGGAUGUACCGUAUUUAACGCCUAUUUUGGUCGAACCAUCAGGUCAGCCUCCUCAGCUGUGGCUGCUCAGGCUCGUGGAAAAGCAGAGUGUCCGUCUCGUGGACACCUCGUACCUUCGUGCAAGGGCAGUGACCCACCAAUGUGAUUUGGGGUAAAAAACAUGGGGAAAGCUAUUCCGGAAUUAAACAUUAAAAGAAA